rnacentral:rRNA from 1 species
AGUUUGAUCCUGGCUCAGGAUGAACGCUAGCUACAGGCUUAACACAUGCAAGUCGAGGGGCAGCAUUUUAGUUUGCUUGCAAACUAAAGAUGGCGACCGGCGCACGGGUGAGUAACAUGUAUCCAACCUGCCGAUAACUCGGGGAUAGCCUUUCGAAAGAAAGAUUAAUAUCCGAUAGUAUAUUAAAACCGCAUGGUUUUACUAUUAAAGAAUUUCGGUUAUCGAUGGGGAUGCGUUCCAUUAGUUUGUUGGCGGGGUAACGGCCCACCAAGACUACGAUGGAUAGGGGUUCUGAGAGGAAGGUCCCCCACAUUGGAACUGAGACACGGUCCAAACUCCUACGGGUGGCAGCAGUGAGGAAUAUUGGUCAAUGGACGAGAGUCUGAACCAGCCAAGUAGCGUGAAGGAUGACUGCCCUAUGGGUUGUAAACUUCUUUUAUAUGGGAAUAAAGUAUUCCACGUGUGGGAUUUUGUAUGUACCAUAUGAAUAAGGAUCGGCUAACUCCGUGCCAGCAGCCGCGGUAAUACGGAGGAUCCGAGCGUUAUCCGGAUUUAUUGGGUUUAAAGGGAGCGUAGGUGGAUUGUUAAGUCAGUUGUGAAAGUUUGCGGCUCAACCGUAAAAUUGCAGUUGAAACUGGCAGUCUUGAGUACAGUAGAGGUGGGCGGAAUUCGUGGUGUAGCGGUGAAAUGCUUAGAUAUCACGAAGAACUCCGAUUGCGAAGGCAGCUCACUAGACUGCAACUGACACUGAUGCUCGAAAGUGUGGGUAUCAAACAGGAUUAGAUACCCUGGUAGUCCACACAGUAAACGAUGAAUACUCGCUGUUUGCGAUAUACAGUAAGCGGCCAAGCGAAAGCAUUAAGUAUUCCACCUGGGGAGUACGCCGGCAACGGUGAAACUCAAAGGAAUUGACGGGGGCCCGCACAAGCGGAGGAACAUGUGGUUUAAUUCGAUGAUACGCGAGGAACCUUACCCGGGCUUAAAUUGCAAAUGAAUAAUCUGGAAACAGGUUAGCCGCAAGGCAUUUGUGAAGGUGCUGCAUGGUUGUCGUCAGCUCGUGCCGUGAGGUGUCGGCUUAAGUGCCAUAACGAGCGCAACCCUUAUCUUUAGUUACUAACAGGUUAUGCUGAGGACUCUAGAGAGACUGCCGUCGUAAGAUGUGAGGAAGGUGGA